rnacentral:rRNA from 1 species
GGAAAUCUCACCAGGCCCGGACACUGGAAGGAUUGACAGAUUGAGAGCUCUUUCUCGAUUCGGUGGGUGGUGGUGCAUGGCCGUUCUUAGUUGGUGGAGUGAUUUGUCUGGUUAAUUCCGUUAACGAACGAGACCUUAGCCUGCUAAAUAGUAAUGCUUAUUUACGAAUAGGUUUUUUACUUCUUAGAGGGACUUUGUGAUUCCAAGCACAAGGAAGUUUGAGGCAAUAA